AAGGAUUUAUGACCAGACUUUUUCUGGGGGGAUCAUCCGGUGUUCUCACCGGUGCACUUCCCCCAGUUGAGGCCAGCAUCGGUUUCUGCCGGGGGAUAAAAGCUUUGGGAAUGUGGCUCCUUCGGGAGUGUUAUAGCCCGUUGCAUAAUACCCUGGCGGGGACCGAGGUUCGCGCAUUGCAAGGAUGCUGGCGUAAUGGUUAUUAAUCA
rnacentral:rRNA from 1 species